rnacentral:rRNA from 1 species
UACGUAGGGUGCGAGCGUUGUCCGGAAUUAUUGGGCGUAAAGAGCUCGUAGGCGGUCUGUCGCGUCUGCUGUGAAAUCCCGAGGCUCAACCUCGGGCCUGCAGUGGGUACGGGCAGACUAGAGUGCGGUAGGGGAGAUUGGAAUUCCUGGUGUAGCGGUGGAAUGCGCAGAUAUCAGGAGGAACACCGAUGGCGAAGGCAGAUCUCUGGGCCGUAACUGACGCUGAGGAGCGAAAGUGUGGGGAGCGAACAGG